rnacentral:rRNA from 1 species
UGAAUACGAGAUGCUACGGCGUCGAAGCAGUGUAUGUCAGACUUCCAAGAAAAGCUCGCAAUGUCAUAAAUAAAGAAUGCCUGUACCAUAACCGACACAGGUGGGUAGGUAGAGUAUACUAAGGGGCGCGAGAUAACUCUCUCUAAGGAACUCGGCAAAAUAACUCCGUAACUUCGGGAGAAGGAGUGCCUUCUUUAAGAAGGUUGCAAUAACAAGAUCCAAGCAACUGUUUAUCAAAAACACAGGUCUCCGCUAAGUCGUAAGACGAUGUAUGGGGGCUGACGCCUGCCCAGUGCCAGGAGGUUAAAGAAGUUGGUUAGCUUUUGCGAAGCUGAUGACUGAAGCCCUGGUGAACGGCGGCCGUAACUAUAACGGUCCUAAGGUAGCGAAAUUCCUUGUCGGGUAAGUUCCGACCCGCACGAAAGGCGUAAUGAUUUGGAUACUGUCUCGGAGAGGGACUCGGUGAAAUAGACUUGUCUGUGAAGAUGCGGACUACCUGCACCAGGACAGAAAGACCCUAUGAAGCUUUACUGUAACUUGAAAUUGAAAUUGGACUUUAUUUGCGCAGUAUAGGUGGAAGGCGUUGAAAGUAAUCUUGCGGGAUUAGUGGAGCCAUCAGUGAGAUACCACUCCUAUAAUGUUAGAUUUCUAACUUUGGAUCAUGAUCUGGUCAAAGAACAGUUUCAGGCGGGCAGUUUGACUGGGGCGGUCGCCUCCCAAAUGGUAACGGAGGCGUACAAAGGUUUCCUCUGAACGGGUAGAAAUCGUAUCUAGAGUGUAAAGGCAUAAGGAAGCUUGACUGUGAGACCUACAAGUCGAGCAGGGACGAAAGUCGGUCUUAGUGAUCUGACGGUGCUGAGUGGAAAGGCCGUCACUCAACGGAUAAAAGUUACUCUAAGGAUAACAGGCUGAUCUCCCCCAAGAGUUCACAUCGACGGGGAGGUUUGGCACCUCGAUGUCGGCUCAUCGCAUCCUGGGGCGGUAGUACGUCCCAAGGGUUGGGCUGUUCGCCCAUGAAAGCGGUACGCGAGCUGGGUUCAGAACGUCGUGAGACAGUUCGGUCCAUAUCCGGUGUAGGCGUUAGAAUAUUGAGAGGAGCCUUCUUUAGUACGAGAGGACCGAGAAGGACAUACCUCUGGUGUACCAGUCAUCGUGCCAACGGUAAACGCUGGGUAGCUAUGUAUGGAGAGGAUAACCGCUGAAAGCAUCUAAGUGGGAAGCCCACCUCAAGAUGAGUAUUCUCAU